GUGCUCGCUUCGGCAGCACAUAUACUAAAACAGGAAUGAUACAGAGAAAAUUAGCAUGGUCCCUGCACAAGGAUGACAUGCAAAUUCAUGAAGUGUUCCAUAUUUGU